CAACCUUAUGACUCCGUUUAAUCAUAAUUACUUCCUUAGAGGCCCCAUCUUCAAAAACAGCCACAUUUGGAGGUUAGGGCUUUAAUAUAUGAAUUUGGGGAGGGGGUUUGGACACAAACGUUUGGUCCAUUACAUUCAACUAGGAGUGGCUGCUGGAAGAACUGUAUUGAUAACAAUUCUCAGGUCCCUCCCAGACUGCAUGAUAAAAAGCGCAAUGCUUGAUUAGUGUUUCUGCCUUGGACUUAGAAAGGAGAGAUUGGGGUGGCUCACAUACCAGAUGUUUUCUUCCCCUGUUUUAUGUGCUUGUCUUUGCCAGCCUCUCUCUUGGCCCCAGCGCAAUCCCUGACACAUACUAGCCCCUUGACGCAUUUUCAAUGAAUGAAUCAGCAAGUGAGUAAUGGUAUCUCAAAGCCCGUUUCAGAUGGACGAUUCCCCGGAGCUUCACAGACGCUGUGAGGGACACCGUCUCGCACAGUGCCUGCCGGGAGAGAAGGGAGCAGAGCCCAGCUCCGCUCACGGCCCAGCAUUCAACCAGGCCUCGCCCCCACUGAGUUUCCCAAGGUUGGAUAAAGCCCGUGGUCCUUUCCCAGGACAGUGGCAGGCCUUCCCAGGAGAACCACCGGAGGCCGCUGACCUUUCCAUUUCCUCACCGUCUUCCUGGAGGUCCCGCCAGUCCAGCCAAGGCCGUUGAGCCCUGGGAGUGGAGUCACACAGAGGUGAGGACAACCCCCGCGCUGACUAUGCUCUGCCGAAACUGGCCUCCCUGCCGACGGCCCGGUGUCCUCCGAAGGACCCUGGGACGUGGCCAGUCUACACGCAAACUCACCCUGUGACCAGCCCUAGAUCCAUGAGAAGAACCCCAGGGGUUCACUCUCUACGAGGCUCCUCCUCCCCAACGACGUUGUUGAAUGUUUAGUGCGUGGUAACAUCGACUCUUUUUACCUCUGCUUUUGCCUGUUAGGUGCCGUCUACAGGGGGCUCCCUGCGUGAUCGGACCUCGACGCCUCUCUCCCUCUGGCCCGAUUCACAGUGUAGUCUUCCCCGCGGGCCUCCUUUGGCCACACUAACUUUCCUGGUACCAGCCUUUUCCUGACUCUGGGUUUGGCCGUUGCAUUUUCCUUCACCCCAGCUCUUCACCUGAUAAUAAUCUGCUCAUUCUUCAGGCCUCAGCAUCAAAUGCUCUCUUCCAGGGAAAGCCUUCCAGAACUUUGACAGUGAGCUGUGGAACAACCUAGAGGAGAGAGAGACCAGAGCCAGGCAUGUCUGUCAGAGGCUAAGACCUGAUGGCAAAGCCCAAAGUGAGAUGUGCAUAAGCCAGACUGGAAGAGGAAAGGAGAAGACAGAUUCUGGUGACCAAGCCAAUGACUUUGGGAGUGAAAAACGCACAGAAGUUGGCAAUUCAAAGAUACCCUCUGUUUACCACCGUAGGAUGCUCAGUUUCAGGCAUCUGUGUCCUGGGAAAGACAGAGGCGCUAACUGAAUUGGUAGCAAAUUUCUAACUCUUUUAUGUGGGUCACGUUCUGCCAGGAAAAUGGAGAGUUUCUUACAAGAGGACCAUUUCUUCUCCUUGCAUAUGUAUUACUUUUUACUUCUAGCAGAAUCUGGCUUUCUCAGCUCUGGACAUCUUAUUUAUCAUGCUUAUCUCAGCGCUCUGGCUCUUCAUCUGCGCUCGGCCGGAGCCGGAGUGGGAG
ensembl:lncRNA